GACGAAGGGGGCUAGCGUUGUUCGGAAUUACUGGGCGUAAAGCGCGUGUAGGCGGUUGUUCAAGUCAGGUGUGAAAGCCUUGAGCUCAACUCAAGAAAUGCACUUGAUACUGAAUGACUAGAGGACCGGAGAGGGUAGUGGAAUUCCCAGUGUAGUGGUGAAAUACGUAGAGAUUGGGAAGAACACCAGUGGCGAAGGCGGCUAUCUGGACGGUUACUGACGCUAAGACGCGAAAGCGUGGGGAGCAAACAGG
rnacentral:rRNA from 1 species